CUGCGUGGAAGGGCCAUCGCUCAACGGAUAAAAGCUACCCUGGGGAUAACAGGCUUAUCUCCCCCAAGAGUCCACAUCGACGGGGAGGUUUGGCACCUCGAUGUCGGCUCAUCACAUCCUGGGGCUGUAGUAGGUCCCAAGGGUUGGGCUGUUCGCCCAUUAAAGUGGUACGCGAGCUGGGUUCAGAACGUCGUGAGACAGUUCGGUCCCUAUCCGUCGCAGGCGUAGGAAAUUUGAGAAGACCUGUCCUUAGUACGAGAGGACCGGGAUGGACGUACCUCUGGUGUACCAGUUGUCCUGCCAAGGGCAUGGCUGGGUAGCUAUGUACGGAAUGGAUAAGCGCUGAAAGCAUCUAAGCGCGAAGCCAACUUCAAGAUAAGAUUUCCCACCGCAAGGGUAAGACCCCAGAAAGACUAUCUGGUUGAUAGGUCGAAGGUGUAAGUGCAGCAAUGUAUUUAGCUUAUCGAUACUAAUAGGUCGAGGACUUGACCAAU
rnacentral:rRNA from 1 species